UUCAGGUGCAUCAACCUUCCCCCAACCCAGAGAUAACAAGGGGAUGUUAGGAGUCCUGUCUUCCAACCUGCCAAGAAAAACGGCCUUGCCAGAAGGGUCCAGUCUCCUCACUGGCCAGAGCCACGAUAUGAUGCAACUGGGGCCCAGAAAGUUACUGUGUCAGCACCACAAACCGGAUAAUGAAAAGAAAAAGACAUUCAGAAUGGCAGUGGUGCCCACCUGAGAGGUGACGGAACUGAGUUCCAACAAGUUCUGGCUGGAAAAAAAGCCCUCGUCUUUAGGAAGUUAUCACAUG